AGGUCCUGGGCACCCCCACCCGCGAGCAGAUCCGCGAGAUGAACCCCAAACUACACCGAGUUCAAGUUCCCCCAGAUUAAGGCCCCACCCUUGGACUAAGGUGAGUCAACAGGUGUUCCGGCCCCGCACGCCCCCGGAGGCGAUAGCGCUGUGCUCGCGGCUGCUGGAGUACACGCCCACGGCCCGGCUCACGCCGCUGGAGGCCUGCGCCCACUCCUUCUUCGACGAGCUGCGCGAGCCCAACGUCAAGCUGCCCAACGGCCGAGAGAAACCCUCGCUCUUCAACUUCACCACUCAGGAGUUGUCCAGUAAUCCCUCCUGGCCUCCAUCUUGAUCCCUGCCCAUGCCCGUAACCAGGCUGGAGCCUCCACCCCUACCAACGCUUCAGCCACCACAGAUGCCAACAGUGGAGACCGUGGCCAGACCACCACUACUAGCCUCUGCCUCCGCCUCCAACACCUCCACCUGAGUGCCCCAACCAAUCAGACCCAUCCCUCUGACCGAAGCCACACCCACCCCAGUGCCUCAUUGGCCAGAUGCCAACCAGAGAGGGGUGCGGGUAGAAUCCCCCAAAUCCACAAAUACUGACACACACGCACACACACCUCACACACACGCACAUACUGAACAACACUCACUGAAAAGAUGAGGAACAUGUACCAACAUCGUUGAACCCCCCCUCCCCCCCCUAUUGUGCUGUUUUUAUUUUCUGAAAAAUAGAAGAAAACAAACCUUUUGUAUGUUUCUGAAAAGAAGCCGUGUGUGUGGAUCGCAGUCUUGGUGUGUGUGUGGACGGAGGGAGUGAUCAAGGGCAGACUAAGAGAAAGAAGGAGUGACGGUGAGGAGCACAUGCAUACAGCAUACCGGCACACACACACACUCAUGCACGCCCCCCCCCCCCCCCCCACACACACACACACACACACACACUCAUGCACGUCCCCCACACACACAC